UAUCCCCCUCCGCUUAACUCACCAGUGCACAAGGCAGUUCCCCCCAUUAAGGCGGCAGCAGUGGAUGAAGUUGAUACAUUCUUUGAAGUGCUUUUUGCUAGAGGAGAAAGCAAUAGGGUAGGGAGCACUGCAGGGCAGACCUCUCAGGAGUUGUUCCGCCCCCACCCCAAUUACAGGAUAGCAAGGGACAUAGAGCCCUGGGGUCCCCAGGUCAGCCAGCACAUGCAGUGAAUAUGGGCCAGUACUUAGUAUGAGCUGGAGGUGUGUUUGUGUGAAGCAAGAAUGGUGGCAUUUCAGGCAGUGAGAGAGACCAGUCAGGACAAAUCUCACCAUCUAGGCAGGAGCACUCCUCCUGUGGACCCUGUUUUCAUGUUGGGUUUAUUGUGGCCUUUCAGAGAAAUGGGUGGGAGGAAACACAGGGGUCCCACUCCUCUGGGGUCUGCAAUCAGAGCACCUGGGCACAAUGAUGGGCAGCAGCAGGCUGGGAGCAAGAUUCCCAAGGGGCAGCACUGUCUGCUUGGCUCCAUCCCAAGCGGGGAGGCACUACUGCUGAUGCCACAAACAAAAAUCCCGUUUUCUGAGCUCAGUUAUACUCCAGGCCCUAUCCUAGAUCCUUGACCUGUGUCAUCUGAUCUUCGAAAGCCUCCUUGACUCUGAUCAUGCACUCCUGAUUUACAGGUGAGGCCCAGAGCGGGGAAGUGAUUUGUUCAAGGUCACACAGCAAGUAAAUGGCAGAGCCUGGCCGGAACUCAGAUGUCUUAACCCCAAGGCCAGGAACAGGCUGAAUAUGACCCUUUCAAAUCAGCUGGUGUAGCUGGUCCCAAGAAGGCAGCUGUCUGUCCAUCUAUGGGUCCAUCCAGGGGAACUUACAUGGGUACCUCAGGGGUAUCAGCGACCGGGAUGCGAAGGUAGGUGAUAUCCUGCAAGUACAAAAUACACUCAGGCAGGGGACCUUGCCUGCAACCCUCCCUGAUGCUGGUCCGAGCUGCCCAGGCAGGGCAUAACCCCAGCCCAGUUCCUGCCCUUCUCUGGCCCACUGUGGUCCUCUCUGUCCAAAGAAAGUAGUUGUCAUCUCUGAGGCCUCCCAGCUGUGACCACUUGUGAUUCCUGAACCUUCUAAGCACAUGGUGUCUCCUAACCCCAUCAGCGGCGUGGGCAUGACGUCACCUAUCCCUCCCAACAGGGACCCAGGAACCUUUAUCAAGUAGCUAGGAAAGGGCUACUUAAAGGGACUCCACUCCAAAUGGGAAUUACAAAAUUACAUCGUAAAAAAGGUAGAGCAGAUUUGAUUAUCUUGAAAAGAAACAAAAAUCAUGAAAACAAGUAUACAUUUCAGGAAUCAUGGUUAUAAAAUGAUGUGCUGAUUAUGAGAAUAAUCAAGGAAUAAAUUGUCAGGAAUUUUUUCCAGCAAACUUGCUGUGAUGUCCUUUGUUUCCUGAUUAGCCACACAAUAUCAUGAAGAUUAUUUUUGCCCGCCUCCUGAGGACCUCCUUGCUUUUCUCGAGAAACUGUCUUAACAUUUUUAUAUUCAAAUGGCUCUUUUCAGGGGCCAGGCCCGUCACUGGCAGUAACUAAGGGACCACCAGCCAGGUUCUCAUUUGUCCAUGGCUUUGUGUGAGAUUCCAGCCCUUCUCUCACUCACAUUCCCCAAGGUCAUGACAUCCUGCAUCUUUGGCAAGGUUUGCAAUUUCACUUUGCAACACAUUUGGCCUUGGGUUUGUGUGGUACUAUCAAACCCUGCCUGGUAAAUUUGCUGAUGGAGGGGGGAAGGAGAGAUGCUUGGGAGAAGCAGGAAGGGCCGUAGGAGCAGAGACUCAUUGUGUAGGCUGUCAUUUCAUUAGUAAAUACACUCAUGACUUGACAACCUUCCCCAUGCACUCUAGUGACUGUUUACUCCAAAUACUCCCAAACGAGGCUGCCCUAUGAGGCAAAAUAAGACUGCAAUGGCCUGGAAAUUUCUUCUCUGAAUGACAUUGAAAAUCAUAGAUUAUUAGAGGUUGCUGUUAGAGAAUAUCAAAUCUGACAUAUGGGAAAACUGAGGCCUAGAGAAGGGAAGGACCUUGGCCAAGAUCACACAGCAAGUCUAUGGCAGAACCGGGUCUUCAUUUCAGAUCUCCAGGACCUUUUCCCACCCAUGGUUCUUUCUCUCCAGUGGAUGAUACAGACUCUAAUAGAUAAGGGUGAAGAGGCUCUGUUUAUGGGAUAAGAAUAUGAUUAAAUUUGUUAUAGUAUCAGUUGUGAUUUGUUGAGCAUCUAUUUAUGUGGUUCCCAACCACUCAGUGAAGUGGGUACUGUUAUAAAGUUCCCGUUUUACAGAUCAGGCAACUGAGGCUCAGAGGGGGCAAAGUCCUGUCCCCAAGGUCAUAGAGCAAAUAAACAGUGAAGAUGUUCC
rnacentral:lncRNA from 1 species